UACGGGGGGUGCGAGCGUUGUCCGGAAUCACUGGGCGUAAAGGGCGCGUAGGUGGCAUGAUAAGGGUGUGGUGAAAGCCCCCGGCUCAACUGGGGAGGGUCAUUCGAUACUGAUCGACUUGAAGGCAGGAGAGGGAAGUGGAAUUCCCGGUGUAGUGGUGAAAUGCGUAGAUAUCGGGAGGAACACCAGUGGCGAAGGCGACUUCCUGGCCUGUUCUUGACGCUGAGGCGCGAAAGCUAGGGGAGCAAACGGG
rnacentral:rRNA from 1 species